UACUACAUACGUUGUGUAUCGCUGUAGCAUUAAGCCUUACAAAUAUUUUUUUGUGCAGGCACCAUUUAGUUUUUUUUUAAUAGAACGGUUUUCAUUUUUUUUUCAUUUUUUUUUAGUUUUCAGCUGAUGAGGAUACUGUACAAUGUUUCACAUAAUAACGUCAAUUGUUAUCGUUCUGUUAACAUCAUAUUUGCAGACUGUGGAAAACAAAAUAUGGACACGUCGACCAAAUGUUACAUAUGAGAUACCAUUCGUCAUCCCCACUACAAUUCCUGACUAUUAUGAUGAUGUGCUGGGUCAUAUUAAUGACAGUCACUAUUACGUUGAUACCCAUGAGGAUAUUACAAAAAAAUAUGAAGAUGCUAAAACACGUAUAGUUGGAUGGAAACGUGUGUAUGCGAGUUUAAGAAUGCAUUAUCAAAAUUUCAGCACCCAUCAUCAAAAUUUAAGUGUCCAUCAUCAAAAUUUAAGCGCCCAUUAUAAAAAUCUAAGCGCACAUCAUUAUAAACAUGCUCAUAACGCUUACAUAAGGAUGUUGCGGGAUAAGGGAUGUUUCGAUCUUCUUCGGGAUUAUAUUCCUUCGAUAGAACGUGAUUUUAUUCAACACAAACAAGGCUUUGAAUCCGACUUUGAGAAGAGCAACCCAACUUUUACCAAUGAAUACAUCCAUUUACAUAAUAAUUUGCACAAAAUUUUUAUUGUCCACGAUGUACUUCGAUCGACUGGAUUGAAAUUUGAUAAUCGUAGCAUCUGUUCAUUCAAAUAUAUGUCCGCGAAGGAGUACUAUGGUCCAUUACCGAAAUACAUUAAGAACUGGCCAACAGACGACAGGAAUAAUUUAAAUAAAUGCGAGCAAUGGAUUUUCUUCCUGAAUGCAGUAAGAAAGGAGCAAUCGCCAAGUAAAAGCACUGAAAUACUAAUCUGGCAGACCAUUAUUGAGAAAUUUGAAAAAUUAACGAGAAAACCGUACCCAUUACUGGUACAAAAUAUAUUUAAUGCAUUGUACUGGUCGCACCAGCAUCAUCAUGUUCAUCAUGCGGUACAAUCUGCGAGUGAAGAUACAACGGAUAAGGAAACGUGCGCUGGCGGCAGAAAAAAAUAUGAACGAUGCGAAAAGAUGUAUUGUUUGUACUAUGGGUUGCUUACUUGGCAGUUCGGGAAAAAAACAACUUUUACACCCACAACAUCUCCAUUGACAACUCCGAUUUUCCAACAAUACUUGGAAGGAGGAAAGCCAACCACAACAGUUAAUCCUGAUGACACGACACCCGAUGACAUUUCUAUUGAUUGGUUUGGUUUAGGUACACGAACAAAAAAAAACAUCACAAACUAAAAAUCGCAAUCAUUACCGAGUACAGCAGUCUCAACAUUGAAGUAGGUACCUUGACAGAGGCUCCAGGAGGAUUAAAAAUCAUCAGUAAUCAAAUCUGGAGGUCAAAAAUAGGAUGCAAUCCAGAGUUCAGCUUUCUAGGCCAAUAUAGUGAAAUUUAAAUUCUUCCCUUGUUUUAUGCAAAAAUUUCAAUGUUUGAAAAUUCACCAAAAAAUUGAGAAAUAAAUUUCAGAUUUUGAAAUUUUGACUACAUAGAAGUGAAUUUUGAGAACACAUACGAGUAAGACGUAUCCACAACUGCGAUGAAAAGUGCGAUUAUUUCCUCAGGCUAUCAAAAAUACUUACUUUAUCGAGUUCACUGGUUUUGGCAGUGAAGUCGAAUCAUUAUACUAAACGAACUGGAACGUUACCAAAAGAACAUAAAACGAAUUACGAGUGCUAAUUGUAAGUACAAUUCAAAUAAAUAAAUAUAACACACAUUUAAAACAAUUGUCAUUCUUUGUUCCAAUUAAAUGAACUAAUGUUAA